AUACGGAGGGUCCAAGCGUUAUCCGGAUUCAUUGGGUUUAAAGGGUCCGCAGGCGGGAAAAUAAGUCAGUGGUGAAAGCCUACAGCUCAACUGUAGAACUGCCAUUGAUACUGUUUUUCUUGAGUAUAGAUGAAGUGGGCGGAAUAUAUCAUGUAGCGGUGAAAUGCAUAGAUAUGAUAUAGAACACCGAUUACGAAGGCAGCUCACUAAACUAUUACUGACGCUCAGGGACGAAAGCGUGGGGAGCGAACAGGAUUAGAAACCCUAGUAGUCC
rnacentral:rRNA from 1 species